rnacentral:tRNA from 1 species
GGCCAUGUACCCAAAUUGGUUAAGGGAGCAGUUUGCAAAACUGUUAUGUGCAGGUUCGAGUCCUGUCGUGGCCU